CUAACUUGCUAGAUGCUGACGAGCGGCGGACGGGUGAGUAACGCGUAGGAAUCUACCCAGUAGCGGGGGAUAAGCCAGAGAAAUUUGGUCUAAUACCGCAUACGCCCUUCGGGGGAAAGCAGGGGCUCUUCGGACCUUGCACUAUUGGAUGAGCCUGCGUGAGAUUAGCUAGUUGGUGAGGUAAUGGCUCACCAAGGCGACGAUCUCUAGCUGGUCUGAGAGGAUGAUCAGCCACACUGGGACUGAGACACGGCCCAGACUCCUACGGGAGGCAGCAGUGGGGAAUAUUGCACAAUGGGCGAAAGCCUGAUGCAGCCAUGCCGCGUGUGUGAAGAAGGCCUUAGGGUUGUAAAGCACUUUCAGUCGUGAGGAAAGGUGUGUGCUUAAUACGUACAUACUGUGACGUUAGCGACAGAAGAAGGACCGGCUAACUCCGUGCCAGCAGCCGCGGUAAUACGGAGGGUCCGAGCGUUAAUCGGAAUUACUGGGCGUAAAGCGCGCGUAGGUGGAUUGGUCAGUCAGAUGUGAAAGCCCAGGGCUCAACCUUGGAACUGCAUCUGAUACUGCUAGUCUAGAAUACAGU
rnacentral:rRNA from 1 species